rnacentral:lncRNA from 1 species
CCUCUUUAUGUUCUGAAUAGGAAGGGACUGGGGCCGGGGGCCCGGGUAGGUCUGCUGGGGCAUCCGCUGCCCGUGUGUGCCAAAGGGGCUGAUGCCGGGCGGCCGGGGCUGGUUCAUGCCCAUGGGAGGGCCGCUCAUCCCCGAGGGCGUCAUGCCAGCCGCCAUGCUCGCGGGGUUCAUGCUGCCCCCCAUGGAGGCAGGCCCCCGCGGCCCGGGCUGGUUCAUGAAUUGGCUGUUAUACGCCUGGGUGGGACCCAUCGGUCCAUACUGGUUUAUAUCCUUGUUCUGUGUCUCCUGCAGGGC